rnacentral:lncRNA from 1 species
CCAAAUACUGUCUGUUGUGAAAAUGCCCUCGAAGCCUGUAGUGCUGUGUAAAUGUGGUGCUCCCCGCUCUUGGUACAUACAUGUCAUUCCAUGCUGUGUACUCAGCAGAUAUGGGAUACUGAAUGAAAUAUACAAAUAUCUUAAUAUUAUGAAUUGAGUUCUAAAAUAAGGUAAGUGUGUUUAUGGUGAUUUCUUUACCUUUAUAACUAUGUUGAAAUUUGAGAAAAUAUGAUAUACUAUAUGUUUGAAACCUUGUUUAUAUCAUGUAUAUAUGAGUGUGCAUAUCUGUUUUUGAAAGGAAUAGGUCCAGAUGGUCAUAUCGCUUUCAAUGAGCCAGGAUCCAGUUUAGUAUCAAGAACAAGAUUAAAGACUCUAGCAAUGGACACCAUUUUAGCAAAUGCAAAAUAUUUUGAUGGAGAUUUAUCAAAAGUACCAACCAUGGCUCUAACUGUUGGUGUGGGGACAGUGAUGGAUGCCAGGGAGGUAAGUAAUGUUGUUUUGAAUAUUUUUCUUUGAUGUUGAGUAAUUAUGGUGCUUAAUAUUUUAGAUUCAUCUAGUUUUCAAUAAAAAUGCUUAAAGGACAACAUUUAAUUAGAGCUGCCUCACUGGUUCUGAGGUUCAGUCCAUUAUCAUCACAGCCGGAAGCAUGGCAACAUCCAGGCAGGCAUGGGACUGUAUGAACUGACAGCUCUACUUCUUGUUCAGAGGCAAACUGGAGCAGAAUGGCUCUCACGUGGCUAGGAGGAGGGUCUCCAAGCCCACCACCACAGUGACACACCUCCUCCAACAAGGCCACACUUCCUGAUAGUGCCACUCCCUGAGCCAAGCAUAUACAAACCACAACAGUAACUGUGGUUGUGUUGGCAUUUGCGAAAGGGGUAUAGAGAGAAUGUCCUACAUAGUUUUGGAGCCCAUGGGAUUGAUUAAUAAAAAGUGCUUUUGACUAC